rnacentral:rRNA from 1 species
GCGAACGCUGGCGGCAUGGCUAAAGCAUGCAAGUCGAACGGUUAAAGCCCCUUCGGGGGUGCAUAAAGUGGCGCAAGGGCGAGGAAUACGUUUCCACGUACCCCGAGGUCGAGGAUAGCCCAGGGAAACCUGGAGUAAUACUCGAUGUGGUCCUUCGGGAUCAAAGGCUUCGGUCGCCUUGGGAGCGGGGAACGCCCUAUCAGGUUGUUGGUGAGGUAACGGCUCACCAAGCCGAAGACGGGUAGCGGGUGUGAGAGCACGACCCGCCGCAUCGGGACUGAGACACUGCCCGGACUCCUACGGGAGGCUGCAGCAACGAAUCUUCCGCAAUGCGCGAAAGCGUGACGGAGCAAUGCCGCGUGCAGGAUGAAUCCCUUCGGGGUGUAAACUGCUGUCAGGGUUCAGCAACACAAUGAGCAGACCCAAAGGAAGGGCCGGCUAACUUCGUG